rnacentral:rRNA from 1 species
GGGUUGUGAGGUUAAGCGACUAAGCGUACACGGUGGAUGCCCUGGCAGUCAGAGGCGAUGAAGGACGUGCUAAUCUGCGAUAAGCGUCGGUAAGGUGAUAUGAACCGUUAUAACCGGCGAUUUCCGAAUGGGGAAACCCAGUGUGUUUCGACACACUAUCAUUAACUGAAUCCAUAGGUUAAUGAGGCGAACCGGGGGAACUGAAACAUCUAAGUACCCCGAGGAAAAGAAAUCAACCGAGAUUCCCCCAGUAGCGGCGAGCGAACGGGGAGCAGCCCAGAGCCUGAAUCAGUGUGUGUGUUAGUGGAAGCGUCUGGAAAGGCGCGCGAUACAGGGUGACAGCCCCGUACACAAAAAUGCACAUGCUGUGAGCUCGAUGAGUAGGGCGGGACACGUGGUAUCCUGUCUGAAUAUGGGGGGACCAUCCUCCAAGGCUAAAUACUCCUGACUGACCGAUAGUGAACCAGUACCGUGAGGGAAAGGCGAAAAGAACCCCGGCGAGGGGAGUGAAAAAGAACCUGAAACCGUGUACGUACAAGCAGUGGGAGCACGCUUAGGCGUGUGACUGCGUACCUUUUGUAUAAUGGGUCAGCGACUUAUAUUCUGUAGCAAGGUUAACCGAAUAGGGGAGCCGAAGGGAAACCGAGUCUUAACUGGGCGUUAAGUUGCAGGGUAUAGACCCGAAACCCGGUGAUCUAGCCAUGGGCAGGUUGAAGGUUGGGUAACACUAACUGGAGGACCGAACCGACUAAUGUUGAAAAAUUAGCGGAUGACUUGUGGCUGGGGGUGAAAGGCCAAUCAAACCGGGAGAUAGCUGGUUCUCCCCGAAAGCUAUUUAGGUAGCGCCUCGUGAAUUCAUCUCCGGGGGUAGAGCACUGUUUCGGCAAGGGGGUCAUCCCGACUUACCAACCCGAUGCAAACUGCGAAUACCGGAGAAUGUUAUCACGGGAGACACACGGCGGGUGCUAACGUCCGUCGUGAAGAGGGAAACAACCCAGACCGCCAGCUAAGGUCCCAAAGUCAUGGUUAAGUGGGAAACGAUGUGGGAAGGCCCAGACAGCCAGGAUGUUGGCUUAGAAGCAGCCAUCAUUUAAAGAAAGCGUAAUAGCUCACUGGUCGAGUCGGCCUGCGCGGAAGAUGUAACGGGGCUAAACCAUGCACCGAAGCUGCGGCAGCGACGCUGAUGCGUUGUUGGGUAGGGGAGCGUUCUGUAAGCCUGCGAAGGUGUGCUGUGAGGCAUGCUGGAGGUAUCAGAAGUGCGAAUGCUGACAUAAGUAACGAUAAAGCGGGUGAAAAGCCCGCUCGCCGGAAGACCAAGGGUUCCUGUCCAACGUUAAUCGGGGCAGGGUGAGUCGACCCCUAAGGCGAGGCCGAAAGGCGUAGUCGAUGGGAAACAGGUUAAUAUUCCUGUACUUGGUGUUACUGCGAAGGGGGGACGGAGAAGGCUAUGUUGGCCGGGCGACGGUUGUCCCGGUUUAAGCGUGUAGGCUGGUUUUCCAGGCAAAUCCGGAAAAUCAAGGCUGAGGCGUGAUGACGAGGCACUACGGUGCUGAAGCAACAAAUGCCCUGCUUCCAGGAAAAGCCUCUAAGCAUCAGGUAACAUCAAAUCGUACCCCAAACCGACACAGGUGGUCAGGUAGAGAAUACCAAGGCGCUUGAGAGAACUCGGGUGAAGGAACUAGGCAAAAUGGUGCCGUAACUUCGGGAGAAGGCACGCUGAUAUGUAGGUGAAGUCCCUCGCGGAUGGAGCUGAAAUCAGUCGAAGAUACCAGCUGGCUGCAACUGUUUAUUAAAAACACAGCACUGUGCAAACACGAAAGUGGACGUAUACGGUGUGACGCCUGCCCGGUGCCGGAAGGUUAAUUGAUGGGGUUAGCGCAAGCGAAGCUCUUGAUCGAAGCCCCGGUAAACGGCGGCCGUAACUAUAACGGUCCUAAGGUAGCGAAAUUCCUUGUCGGGUAAGUUCCGACCUGCACGAAUGGCGUAAUGAUGGCCAGGCUGUCUCCACCCGAGACUCAGUGAAAUUGAACUCGCUGUGAAGAUGCAGUGUACCCGCGGCAAGACGGAAAGACCCCGUGAACCUUUACUAUAGCUUGACACUGAACAUUGAGCCUUGAUGUGUAGGAUAGGUGGGAGGCUUAGAAGUGUGGACGCCAGUCUGCAUGGAGCCGACCUUGAAAUACCACCCUUUAAUGUUUGAUGUUCUAACGUUGACCCGUAAUCCGGGUUGCGGACAGUGUCUGGUGGGUAGUUUGACUGGGGCGGUCUCCUCCUAAAGAGUAACGGAGGAGCACGAAGGUUGGCUAAUCCUGGUCGGACAUCAGGAGGUUAGUGCAAUGGCAUAAGCCAGCUUGACUGCGAGCGUGACGGCGCGAGCAGGUGCGAAAGCAGGUCAUAGUGAUCCGGUGGUUCUGAAUGGAAGGGCCAUCGCUCAACGGAUAAAAGGUACUCCGGGGAUAACAGGCUGAUACCGCCCAAGAGUUCAUAUCGACGGCGGUGUUUGGCACCUCGAUGUCGGCUCAUCACAUCCUGGGGCUGAAGUAGGUCCCAAGGGUAUGGCUGUUCGCCAUUUAAAGUGGUACGCGAGCUGGGUUUAGAACGUCGUGAGACAGUUCGGUCCCUAUCUGCCGUGGGCGCUGGAGAACUGAGGGGGGCUGCUCCUAGUACGAGAGGACCGGAGUGGACGCAUCACUGGUGUUCGGGUUGUCAUGCCAAUGGCACUGCCCGGUAGCUAAAUGCGGAAGAGAUAAGUGCUGAAAGCAUCUAAGCACGAAACUUGCCCCGAGAUGAGUUCUCCCUGACCCUUUAAGGGUCCUGAAGGAACGUUGAAGACGACGACGUUGAUAGGCCGGGUGUGUAAGCGCAGCGAUGCGUUGAGCUAACCGGUACUAAUGAACCGUGAGGCUUAACCUUACAACGCCGAAGCUGUU